rnacentral:lncRNA from 1 species
UUGUUGGGGUCACAUUGGGGUCCAUAUGGGGUCAGUGGGGUCUCUAUGGGGUUUUGAGGUCACAUUGGGGUCUCUAUGGGGUGGGUGGGGUCUCUAUGGGGUUGUUGGGGUCACAUUGGGGUCUCUAUGGGGUUUUGAGGUCACAUUGGGGUCUCUAUGGGGUCAGUGGGGUCUCUAUGGGGUUGUUGGGGUCACAUUGGGGUCUCUAUGGGGUUUUGAGGUCACAUUGGGGUCCAUAUGGGGUCAGUGGGGUCUCUAUGGGGCAUUGGGGUCUGUAUGGGAUGGGGGCACAGCGUGGGGCAGCGCCCCGUUGUGCCCCCAGUCUUGGAUGGCGAUGGUGACCCCGAUGCUGAAGGUGACGCCGACGAUGACGCCGAUGGUGACGACGGUGACGAUGACGAUGACGACGAUGACGACGAAGGCCCCGCGCUGCCCUCGGGCUCAGCGCCGCCGUGUCCCCAAAGCGCCGUCACCGUCCUCCUCUGCGUCCAGCGGGGGCGCAUCACCGCGCACUGCGCGGCUGUGGUGUGUCACCUGUGUGUCACCUGUGUGUCACCUCUGUGUCACCUCUGUGUCACCUCUGUGUCACCUCUGUGUCAUCAUCUGUGUGCCAUCACCUCUGUGUCACCUCUGUGUCACCUCUGUGUCAUCAUCUGUGUGUCACCUCUGUGUCACCUCUGUGUCACCUGUGUGUGUGUCAUAAUCUGUGUGUCACCUGUGUGUCACCUCUGUGUCACCUGUGUGUCACCUGUGUGUGUCAUCACCUCUGUGUCACCUCUGUGUCACCUCUGUGUCACCUCUGUGUCACGUGUAUGUGUCAUCACCUGUGUGUCACCAUCUGUGUGUCACCUCUGUGUCACCUCUGUGUCGUCACCUGUGUGUCACCUCUGUGUCACCUCUGUGUGUGUCAUUAUCUGUGUGUCACCUCUGUGUGUGUCAUCACCUCUGUGUCACCUCUGUGUCACCUGUGUGUGUCAUCAUCUGCGUGUCACCUCUGUGUCACCUCUGUGUGUCAUCUGUGUGUCAUCUGUGUGUCACAUGUGUCACCUGUGUGUGUCAUCAUGUGUGUCACCUCUGUGUCACCUCUGUGUCACGUGUGUCAUCUGUGUGUGCCAUCAUCUCUGUGUCACCUCUGUGUCACCUCUGUGUCACCUGUGUGUGUCACGUCUGUGUGUCAUCACCUGUGUGUCACUUCUGUGUCACCUCUGUGUCACGUGUGUCACCUGUAUGUCAUCACCUGUGUGUCACCUGUGUGUGCCAUCAU